AUUUCUCAAGGCUCUUUUUAUAUCUCAGAUUUCCUUGAUUAAGACGUGAGCACAGUGAGAACCUCGUGGCUAUUGCAAUGGGUAGAGAGACCCCAGCAGGCACAGGUGGGGCCACCGCACUACAGGAACUGUGAAAGAGACCUGCCCUUCCUCUUUGCCCAGCACUGCUCACAAAAUGGGAAGAUGGCCCAGCUCCUCCCCUGGGAAAAGAGUGUCCGGCUGCACGGUGUCAUUUGCCUUCCAAGCUGGUCUCAUCAGUGGCUCUCUGAGUCCUAAUUGGAACUCUUUGUCCCUGCUGCUCAGUGGCCAGGCCCCCAUGACCUCAAUUAGGAAAGACGUGCUUCCCUUCGUGGACCUGACUCUCCACUUUGCAGGCAGAAGCAGGGGCGGGACCGGGGCCAGGCUGCCCACAACUGUCUCUCUGAACUUCAGAGGGUGUGGUCUGGACAAGAGCUCACAGUUCAGUGUCAAGGAACUGCUGAAGUCCUCAUUGUGAGUGACAAAGGAAAAAGUUUUUUCUUUUGAUCUUGGAAUGCAGCUUGCCUGGAUGGCCUUUGUGAGCACAUAUUCAGAGGACCCCUGAGGGCCCCACAAAUAGAAGGGCCGUUGUAGAGUGCGUCUUGGGAAGGACAAUAGAACAGAUUACUUAGUGGUUGUCUCCUGACCUCACUACCUGCUGGUGGUGAGGUCUUGUGGACACCUGUGGCUUUUCUGUGUUUCAAUUCAGUAGUUUUUAAAGGGGGUGAGGUACAGUGGUAAGAGAAAUAAUACAAAUGGCUGUCCCGUGGUGCGUUCACUAUGCAGCCACUGGGCUGGGGAUAUGGUUUGGUGGCAGAGUGCUUGUCUAACAUGUGUGAGACCCUUGGUUUGACCUCCAGCACUGCCAACAACAACUAUUAACACUCUCAGUAGGGCACUGGGAAGGCUGUGGAAUUUUUUCAUCAAUUCUACUCAAGGAACAAUGGCAGCUGGUCCCUUAUAAUCCAACAGCAGUUCCUACCUCACCCCUGCCUAGACAAAGGCCCUGGCCCAGUGGGAUGGCCCAAGGACACAGACUUUAGGUAUCUGUGGCUUCUGUCCUAGAAUGACUGUCCAUCCAAAUCCAAUCAAGUUUCCCUGAGUUGGGCAGGAACAGGGAGAGAGAAUGCUGCUUAGGGUUCCAGGCACCACAUAGACAGGCAGGAUACUGGCAGCUACCUAUCAAGUCAAUGUCGCCAUUCAGAACUACUAACAAAACUUCUGAGAGAGGCCUCAGUGUGGGAGUGGUCAUUGCACAAGGGUCACCGAGGCUGCAGGAAGAAGUAUAUUUGCUGAGGGGGGAUUCCCUCUCUGCUUUCAGCCUUUGGCCAGAGGUUCAGAGAAGCCACUCAGGAGAUAACUGUUAGCGCUGGGGGUGUGGCUCAGCAGGCAGAGUGCUUGCCUGGUAUGCACGAAGCCCUGGGUUUGAUUCCAGAUGCACACACACUCCGGAGGUGGAGGCAGGAGGAUCAGUUCAAGACCCGUCUCAGAAAGACACCCAAAAAUGUCAGUGUUAAGAGAGGGAGCACAAAGAAAUCUCAAGAGGGCCAUAUGGAGAAGGCACUGCUCCAUGCUGCGAGUCCCAGACUGUGGUCAGCCUAGAGGCUCAGGCACAGGCCCAGGCUCCCUCCUGGCUCCUUCUCACACCCUGAAUCAAGGCUAUGCAAGGAGUUAGUCAGAAGUUCCCCAGCUUUGGCUCUGGGUUGCAAAGUCCAGGCUCCUCCGAGCUCCAGUUCCCACCCUGACCCCAGGGCCAUACAUUUAUGCACCUGGGAAAGAGGCCACAUCAGGAUUUGUCUGACUCACGUUACGGUAACAGGAUGCAUUGUGUGGGACUCUGGACUAGGAAACAGCAGGUGUGGACCAGUCUCUGAAUGUUUCCUGUCUCAUGAUGGCUAUCAGUAUCCAUGUGCGUGUGCCACAGGCCAAAGACAUUUCCCGCCGGGCCACAUCUCCCAAUCACUGGUGGAGCUGGAGAGGAGAAGCUGAAGGAGGAGGAGUGGCCUCAGGCCUGAAUGCUCAGGAAGGGUCCCGAGAGCCUCGAUGCCCACAGCCUUGCUCCAAGGAGGUCCAUGCUGGCUCAGUCAAAGGAGGCUCCCCCUAACCAGGACAAUGCUUGGCACACCGAUACGUUUGAGCCAGGAGUUUGCUACAGAAAGAGGAAACCAGACUGAGGCUAACCCAAGUCCAGAGCAGAGCUUCAGGGACCAGCCUCUUCCUGCCCAGGAGGAGUUAAAAUGCCUAAAAGAAAGUUAUAUUUAGUUACCUAUGGUGACUCACACCUGUAAUCCUCGAACUGUGAACUGAGGCAAGAGCAUUGCUACAAGUUCAAGGUUCUGGGUUCAAUUCCCAGCACCUAUAUGGUGGUUUAUAACUGUCUGUAACUUCAGUUCUAGUGGACCUGACAUCCUCAUAUAGAUAUCCAUGCAGGCAAAACACCAAUGCACAUACAGUAAUAAUAAAUACAUUGUAUUUUAAAAAAUCCCAAAUAACAGCAACAGAACAAAAGAUCAUGACUAUUGGAUACUUCCUAGAUUUAUGAUCUUAUACAGAUUUCUUAAUCUCUCCAUGCCCCUGCGUAUGUAAAAU
ensembl:lncRNA